rnacentral:lncRNA from 1 species
CUCUUGACCUUGUGAUCCGCCCAUCUUGGCCUCCCAAAGUGCUGGGAUUACAGGAGUGAGCCACCGCACCCAGCUCUUCUUUGAGUUUUUAAGGCCACAUAAGCUGUGGAUGUUAUAGAAUUUCUUAUUUCCCUGGGCAGCAACUGGGCCUCUAUUGAGACCCAAAUGCCCUCUUCAGAGGGAACUACGAGGUCAACAAGCACAAUCCCCACAUGUGCAGUGAAGUCUCCAUACGUCCACUCUGGAGGAGGAGAUGACAAGGCAGGGAGGCUGUCAUUUCCUACUUGGGCGGACCCUUCUAGGGGCGGUCUGCUCUGGCCCCUCCGCAAUUCCAGUCAGCAGCCUAGCAUGUCACUCUGGGAGGACCGCAGGAACUAGCAAAUCCAAUAUUCUGCUUACAAAUGGAGAGACGGAGGCCCCAAGAAGAAAGCUAAGAGGUACCAUCAUCAAAGGUAAGGUGAUGGGAAGCUGCCCCAUGCCUCGGUGUUCCACUAUGAGACAGAAGACACAGUGGUUAUAACUGCCACUUACCACUGAUUGUUAAACUCAACUUCAUUUCUUUUUAUUUUUUGCCUUUGCCAUGAUAGAUUUUAUAUCUUAUCACCACAACUGUGUGGUGAUGUGGUUUGGAUGUGUGUCCCCUCCAAAUCUCAUGUUGAAAUGUGGUCCCCAGUGUUGGAGGUGGGGCCUGAUGGGAGGUGUUGGAUCAUGGCAGUGGAUUCCUCAUGCAUGGCUUGGCACUCUCUCCUUGGUGAUGAGUUCCUGCUCUGAGAUGACAACUCAGAUAACUCCAUGCUGUGGUGCUAGCACCUGAGAGACCCAUGACCGAGAGAUCUGCCCCCACAUAUAAAUCCAGAGGGAUGGGGCUGGCCUGCUGCUUCUCUUCAAGAACCAGUAGAGGCUGACGCUGCAGAGAGGGCAGCACCCCAGGGUCAAGGAAAUCACCAACAGAGGGGACCAGCAGGGGUCACCUAAGACCCCAGAACAAGAGAAACCUUUCUUAAUUUGCCACAUCCAGUGAGUUCAAUAGAAGCCUCCUGUUUCAGCCAGGGGUCCCCAGGGAAGCAGAGUAACAGGACAUGCGUGGAUAUGGAAGUGGACAUAAGCACGGGAAUGGAUGAAUAUGGAUAUGGAUAUUGAUAUAGAGAGAGGUCUGCCUCCACCCCAAGAGGACCUCGUGGACGUGGUGCCUCAGGCUCCACCAUCCCCAGGAGAAGAGUGCCAUGCUUGGACUCGUUUUUGCUGUUUUUGGGACAGUGGUGCCAUUCCCCUCCCGUGACUGACUCCUGCGUGCAGUCCCUAAUCUGCCCAUCACCGCCGGGGCACUGUCCACAGCAUUCUGUUGAUUUCCUCCACACUGUCUAACACAACCUGAAACAACCUCAUCUGCCCACCACGUCUCAUCUGUGCCUCCCUGCCUGGAACGGAGCUGCAGGAAGGCAGCGAUGUUUGUCUGGAGGUUCCCUGUUCGCUGGUGCGGGUCUAUGAGGAGGAAACACACAGAAACCAAAAGAUGGAAUCAGGCUGUCUCGGGCCACUUCCUUCCGCCACAGCUCUGCCUGGAGUGCCAGCCCCAGCACAGGUGAAUACACAGAACCAGCGCCUCCCUCCUGGAGCUUUCCUGGGGAGACCAGUGAGGGUGAACAAGGAAGCGGAUAGAGAACUCCCCGCAGCAAGUAGCACGCGGCGCUCCCAGGGAAGAGCAUGCCAGGCUGGAGGCCCUGCGGAGGGGACAAGUUCAGCAGCUUGGAGGACCAGAGAGAAAUCCAGCUCCUGCCUCCUAACUCACACAGCCCUGGUUAUAGCCUUUUGUUAUCACGUUGGGGCAGUUUAGGCCUCAGGAAGCUGAAUCUCAAGACCCUAAUCUGACUGUGGGUCAGAAGAUCCUCAUUCCAGGGUGGGUUCUGCCUCAUCCCCUAGAGGAAGAAAUGCUGCCGAGAAGCUGAGAAGAGUCUGGGCCAGGCGUGGUGGCUCAUGCCUGUAAUCCCAAGACUGGGAGCCCAAGGCGGGCAGAUCACCU